UGGGGAAUCUUGCACAAUGGGCGAAAGCCUGAUGCAGCGAUUCCGCGUGGAGGAUGACGCAUUAAGGUGUGUAAACUCCUUUUCUGGUGGAAGACGAAUGACGGUACACCAGGAAUAAGGGACGGCUAACUACGUGCCAGCAGCCGCGGUAAUACGUAGGUCCCGAGCGUUAUCCGGAUUUACUGGGCGUAAAGUGUCCGUAGCCUGAUAUAUAAGUCUGUUUUCAAAUAUCUCAGCUCAACUGAGAGAAGGGAAUGGAUACUAAAUAUCUAGAGAUUUUUGGAGGUUAGUGGAAUUUCCGGUGGAGCGGUGAAAUGCGUUGAUAUCGGAAAGAACGCCGAAAGCGAAAGCAGCUAACUACAAUACAUCUGACGGUGAGGGACGAAAGCUUGGGUAGCAAACGGG
rnacentral:rRNA from 1 species